rnacentral:lncRNA from 1 species
GAAUUUUGGGGAGCACCACAGGGCAGGGCCUGUGGCUGUCUGAGGGCGGCAUCACAGGCAUGCUGAGGUCUGGGGCUGGAGGAACCCUGGACAGAACAAGGAGUAGGGGAAUGACAGACAGAGCAAGCCAGCCAUGUGGAGCGCACGGGGCCAGGACAUCAACCUCCUCCUGCCUGUUUUUCUUCGGAAAGGAGAAAGGACAUGGUGCUGUUUGAGGAAUUCUUGGAAGCUCGUGGUAGGUGAGCAGAGCGGGAGGAGUUGCUGGCAGGAGCGCGGGUUUCCCACCGGGCCAGGCGGCCCCAGACCUGGCGCUCGGUGCGGGUCCCCCGGGCUGCGUUCAUCCCUCGCCAGCGAAGGCGGCCGGAGGCAGAGGCUGCAUCGCCUUCGCAGCCGCGUGUGGGUGAGAUUCAGGGUCUGGCUCCUGCAGAAUUACACUGGCUGUGACCCCGGCUCAUCGUGAGCUUCUGAGGCAACACUUGUGUUUAGAAUUUUCCAUGAUAUGAUGUCUGCAAAUACAUUCUCAUGAGAGGGAGCCUCGGACCGUGCCGUCCCCAUGUCCAGCAGGAACGAACCAGAAUUAAGAGGAGGGUGUGGAAGGCGGCAGCUCACCUUGUUUUCCAACUUCUCAGAAACCCUGAGAAACAAUGAACGUCUCUUUGCAGCAGAUGGAAAAUUUUAUAGUCUUGCUGUCCCAAAUUCUUUGGCUAAACCACCAGAUUUUAAAUAUCUGCUAGCAAAAUAUAUUAGAAAAGUUAGGAUUAACUGGAAAAAAAACAGUACUCUAUAUAUUUUCACUUGUAACCAGGCAGCUUAACUUCAAAAUGCAUUUUAACGUUUUUUUCCCCUUUCUCUUCGAUUUUAAGAUACAACCUUGAAGCGAACUGCAGAAGCCUUUUCUCUCAGCCUUAAAGUAGACUCCACGUUCCCGCCUUCCUCACUGUCUAUACCCGCUUCACUGUUCUCUAACUGCCUGCGCGUGUCUAAUUAUGCACCUUCUUAGAAGUUCCGGGGGCUGAUCUUGAGACAGACCAAACCUGGAGAU